CAAUUAAAAUUUUAUUAAUUAUAGAAGUAGAAUAUGAGCAAAGAACAGCGCUGGACGGCAGGGGAGGUCUGCGCUCCACCAACUGCCGUGCUGAGCAGUUCAAAAAGCCCUCCCUUAUACAUCUUUUACUUCCGUGUUCAUGAUGUAGUUGAGGUACUCUGCGCAUGCUUCAGCUGUUGCUAGGGGGUCGACUUCUGCCUCCCGGUGGUCGGUGAGGCCGAAGUAAGAAGUCUUCCUCCUUUGUCCCGUAGUUGACCCUUCAUUUAUGUCCUUAUAUGGAGUGGUUUGUCUUAUUUCUGCCAGUUCCUGGAAUAUCUUGUAAGCCAGUUUCUGUAACACCUUGUGGUCAUCUUAUGUUUGCAUAAACGGUUUCUGGUUUAAUUGGUGUAAGCGAUUGUGGUUUAAUUGGUGUAAGCGAUUGCGGUUAUCUUAUCUUGCAUAAGCUGUGUCCGUUAACUGUGUGCAUAAGCAAUUUCAUAUCUUCUGUUGCUUAACCUUUAUAUUGGGCUUAACAUAUAUAUACCUAACAUAUAUCUUAAUAAACAAUACCUUAUUCUUUAGUUUUUCACAUUUGUUUGUUUGUUUUUUUACAUGCUGCAUGGAGAGGAAUUCCCAGAGUAAUUGAAGCUUUUUGUCUUCUGGCUCUGGAGCUGGUGUUCAGGACUACAGCCAGUACCCAGGAUCAGAAGAACCCAUCUAAUGUGUGGCCAUUCUUCAUGUACUGGAGGACUGAAGGUAUACAGCUGGGUCCCUCAGAUGACUCUUUUGAGUUUUUAACAUGCCUUCCCAGCAUGCGUAUGGUUUUAAAUGUGCCUUCCUCAGAAGUGAUUCAAACAGAAAAUUGCCUUGCCUACUUCACACAGAUACAGAAAGGAAGACAGUGAAAAAAUACCUGAAGUGCUGUGAAAAAGGCUGUACAAGAAUGCCAGUGGAAUGAAAAAAACACCACCAAAGUCACUGCAGAUUAGUGGAGUGUAUCUGCAGAGCUGCUUUUUCUCUGAAAACUUGUAAGCAAUCUUAUGAACAACCACUAUGCUGGAGUGGACUUGUGAAUCCUGUUCCACACUGGCUCCUCCCACAGGUGCUCAGCAGGAGGAGGAUGGAAGAUGGAGGAUGAGGGCUGGUGGCUACUGCACUGUAUGCAUUCACAGAUUUUUUUCUAUUUCUUGCUCAUGAGCUGUAGCAUACAGAUACCGCAAUGACAGCCUGGAAGAGAUCCAGCUCCCUCUGCCAUGCAACCAGAAACCUGGCAUAAAGGGAAUUUGGUGUGCUCUUGUGUUUAUGAGCAGUAGCAUGAGUAGGAAGCUCUUAGCAAAUGAGCAAGUAGACAUAUUACGAGUCAUGUCAAGACAGCACAUAACCAUCUGCGCUGGCUCCUCCAAGUGCAGUUUGAUCACCCUGAUUUCCCAUUGAACAGGACUUUACUCCAGCAUCAAUUACUUAGUUAAACCUGCAAACCAGACAGGAUCUGUCCCUAGACAGGGAUAACAAGCCAAAAAGGAAGAGAAGCGUAAGAGUGCCCUCCUAGCAGAAAUUAAAUCUCUGUCACUCACCUCUUAUCAAACUUAAUUAUCUUGAAGG
rnacentral:lncRNA from 14 species